rnacentral:tRNA from 1 species
UGGGGUGUGGCCAAGCGGUAAGGCAACGGGUUUUGGUCCCGUGACCGAGGGUUCGAAUCCUUCCACCCCAGCCA